GUUGGUUAUAAGCCGUGUUUCCCAAUGCUGCAUUGACUUAUACGUGAAGUCGAGUUUUGCCUACCUGGACUGCAUGGGUCAAAUUUUGGGGCUGGUCAAAACCAGCUGAGAUGAAAGAAAAAACUCCUCAGGUGGCCUGAUGGAAACCAGGUCAGGAGGUCGAGGCAAGCCCACAGAGCUGUGCUGCGAGUGGGAAGGAGUCUGCUGGAGAGGCACAAACUGCAAGGGCAACCAGAAGGGUUCAGAUGAUGGACAAGUCGCAUCGCCUUCCCAACUGGAAAGUUAUCUUCUGUUAUGGCCUACACUGAUAAAGCACCUAGCUUUGAAAGGGUCGCCCUCGGAGUCCCUGAUCCCCUCCCAGCUGCAAAAAUAAACCUAGUCCUUGCCAUUCACAAAAUGCACUACUAAUUGGAAAAUGCAUUGCAAAUUCAUGAGGCCAGGAGCAUGUCAGCUUAAAAUAAAUCCCACACAGAUAAUGGACGGUGACAUUAAAAUCUUUAUAAAAUGAGAAUAGAAGCCGGCACAAAUAGAAACGUUGUAUGCCAUCACCUAUAGUCUCUUCUGCCUUUGUCAUGGAGUUUAGCUUUUCUUUAGUUUAGCAUUUCAAAAGCAUU